CCUACGGGAGGCAGCAGUGAGGAAUAUUGGUCAAUGGGCGAGAGCCUGAACCAGCCAAGUCGCGUGAAGGAUGACGGCCCUAUGGGUUGUAAACUUCUUUUGUCAGGGAGCAAUUGGGUCCACGCGUGGGCUUAGUGAGAGUACCUGAAGAAAAAGCAUCGGCUAACUCCGUGCCAGCAGCCGCGGUAAUACGGAGGAUGCGAGCGUUAUCCGGAUUUAUUGGGUUUAAAGGGUGCGUAGGCGGAAUAUCAAGUCAGCGGUAAAAUUUCGGGGCUCAACCUCGUCGUGCCGUUGAAACUGAGGUUCUUGAGUGGGCGAGAAGUAUGCGGAAUGCGUGGUGUAGCGGUGAAAUGCAUAGAUAUCACGCAGAACUCCGAUUGCGAAGGCAGCAUACCGGCGCCCAACUGACGCUGAAGCACGAAAGCGUGGGUAUCGAACAGGAUUAGAUACCCCUGUAGUC
rnacentral:rRNA from 1 species